rnacentral:rRNA from 1 species
UAGCAUAUCAAUAAGCGGAGGAAAAGAAACUAACAAGGAUUCCCCUAGUAACUGCGAGUGAAGCGGGAAAAGCUCAAAUUUAAAAUCUGGCAGUCAUUUGGCUGUCCGAGUUGUAAUCUAGAGAAGUGUUAUCCGCGCUGGACCGUGUACAAGUCUCCUGGAAUGGAGCAUCAUAGAGGGUGAGAAUCCCGUCUUUGACAUGGACUGCCAGGGCUUUGUGAUGCGCUCUCAAAGAGUCGAGUUGUUUGGGAAUGCAGCUCAAAAUGGGUGGUAAAUUCCAUCUAAAGCUAAAUAUUGGCGAGAGACCGAUAGCGAACAAGUACCGUGAGGGAAAGAUGAAAAGAACUUUGGAAAGAGAGUUAAACAGUACGUGAAAUUGCUGAAAGGGAAACGCUUGAAGUCAGUCGCGUCAUUCAGGGAUCAACCUUGCUUUUGCUUGGUGCACUUUCUGUUUGAUGGGUCAGCAUCAAUUUUGACUAUUGGAAAAAGGCUUAGGGAAUGUGGCAUCUUUGGAUGUGUUAUAGCCCUUGGUCGCAUACAAUGGUUGGGAUUGAGGAACUCAGCACAUCGAAACAAUGUAUGUGUCUUAGGAUGCUGGCAAUAUGGCUUUAAUCGACCCGUCUUGAAACACGGACCAAGGAGUCUAACAUGCCUGCGAGUGUUUGGGUGGAAAACCCGAGCGCGUAAUGAAAGUGAAAAGUUGAGAUCCUUGUCAUGGGGAGCAUCGACGCCUGGACCAGACCUUUUGUGACGGUUCCACGGUAGAGCAUGUAUGUUGGGACCCGAAAGAUGGUGAACUAUGCCUGAAUAGGGUGAAUCCAGAGGAAACUCUGGUGGAGGCUCGUAGCGAUUCUGACGUGCAAAUCGAUCGUCAAAUUUGGGUAUAGGGGCGAAAGACUAAUCGAACC